ACAACACAAUCUUCAUCAUCACACAAGACAAAACAACUACAAUGAACAACAUCCUCAUCCUCAUCUGGACACUCACACUGUUUGCACAAGAGUGUAGAGGACAGUAUACUGUAAGUCAGAGUCCAUCAAUAACAGCAGCUCAACCAGGACAAGAAGUCAGAAUAAACUGUAAAACCAGCAGUUCAGUGUAUAAUAGUAACUACUUACACUGGUACUUACAGAAACCUGGAGAAGCUCCUAAACUCCUCAUAUAUUAUGCAACAAGCCGUUACACUGGAACUCCAUCUAGAUUCAGUGGCAGUGGAUCUGGAAGUGAUUUCACUCUCACCAUCAGUGCAGUCCAGACUGAAGAUACAGGAGAUUAUUACUGUCAGAGUUACCACAGCAGUGGUGAUGUGUUCACACAGUGA